rnacentral:tRNA from 1 species
AGUUAAAAAGCUUUUAUGAAAGCAUAUGUUUUGAAAGCAUAAGACAGAAGUUAAAAUCUUCUAUUAACUU